CUAAAGGGAGGAGCUUCCCAAACUCAGAGUCCUGUUACAGAACGCUGGAGAUUCUGGGAGAGAAGGAACAGCUCAAGUCAUUUUCUCUUUGCAGGUUUCUCCGGACAUCUAAAGGACGCACACUUCUUUCGCCUCACCGCGCAGGGUCACGCUCUCAGGAUUGAAGCAUGGAUGAUGAUUUCGAGCGGCGCAGGGAACUCAGGAGACAGAAGCGGGAGGAGAUGCGUCUGGAAGCUGAGAGGAUGGCGUAUCGCCGAAGUGAGGAGGAUGAGGAGGAGGCCGCUCGUGAGCGCAGACGAAGAGCGAGACAGGAGAGAAUGCGCAGUAAGGACAGCGAGGAUGUGGCCUACCAACCCGAGACCCCGGAGCUCAACAACAGCCACAGCGUGAUGGUGACAGAGAGUGUAUCCACCUCAGUGGUGACCUCCAGUGGGAUGGGAGAGGGGGACGAUGAGGAGCAGGCCCUGCUGGAGCGCCUGGCCAAGAGAGAGGAGCGCAGGCAGAGGAGGAUGAUGGAGGCGCUGGACAGACAGGAGGAGCUAGAGAGCAGCCAGACCUCCCGCCACAGCCUGGAGGAGAGCAGCGGAGGCCUGCGCCGCGGCCGGAGCUACGAGCCAGAGGAGGAGCACAACAGCAAGGAGGAGGUGAAACAGGUGGAAGAGGAAGAGGAGGAGGAGGAGGAGGUGCUGGUGGAGGAAAAGCCUCGGAGGUCUUAUCUGAGAGAACAGGAAUCCGUUGAGGAAAUAUCUAAAAUACCUGAGGAGGACAAAAAUGAGCGAGACGCAGUGCCGUCUUCUGAAGUACAUGAGGUGCUUGUAAAUGAAGACGUUGAUGAUUCGGAGACGGAAAAUGGCACCGCAGAGGGUGCACAGGAGGAAAAGAGUGAGAUUGAGGGAUUGACAGAGAAUGGAGUGGAUGAAAUGAGAGAGACAGAAAACUUUGAGAAAGAUGAGGUUUCAGAAAAUAACGAGUCUUUGAUGGAAGAGGAAGAUGUGUUGAGGAAGAAUAAACAGCCCAAUGGAGGAGUGUGCGAGGACAGCACUCCCAAACACAAGAAAGCUGAGAGGACUUUCAGCCGAGGCAGCUUGCGCUCUCCUGAGGCGCCAGAGGCAGACGAGGCAGACAGCGAGGAUGCUCGCUUGGAGGCCGAGAGAAAGCUGGAGGAACUGAAGAGGAGAAGAGAUGAGAUGGAGAGCGAGGAGUUUGAGAGGAUGAGGCAGAAACAGCAGGAGGCCGAGGUGGAGCUGGAGGAGCUGAAGAGGAAGAGGGAGGAGAGGAGGAAGGUGCUGGAAGAGGAGGAGCGGCGGAGGAAGCAGGAGGAGGCCGAGAGGAAAGCCAGAGAGGAGGAGGAAAAGAGGAGGAUGAAGGAGGAGAUUGAGAAGAGAAGAGCAGAGGCGGCCGAGAAGAGGCAGAAAGUGGAGGAUCCAGUGGACGGAGAGGGCAAGAAGCCCUUUAAGUGUGUCAGUCCCAGAGGAUCCUCAUUGAAGAUCGGUGAGAGGGCAGAAUUUCUCAACAGAUCAGCACAGAAGAGUUCUGUGAAGGCGUCUCACGCACCUGUGGUGUCUAAGAUUGAUAACCGAUUAGAGCAGUACACCAGCGCCGUACAGGGCAACAAAGAGGUCAGAUCUCCCAGAUCAGCUGCCAUAGAUCUUCCCGUGGUGACAGACGGUAUUCGCAACAUCAAGAGCAUGUGGGAGAAGGGGAAUGUCUUCAGCUCUGGUGGGAGCCUGGCGUCCACCAACAAGGAUGCAGCUGGGAUAAAGGUGGGCGUGGCCGGCCGCAUCAACGAUUGGUUGAAUAAAACUCCAGAGACGGGCAAAACGUCAGGAGGAAGACCCGCGGACCUGAAACCGGGCGACGUGACCAGCAAACGCAAUCUAUGGGAAAACAAAGGGUCCUCUGCUACCAAGCCGUCCCCUUGCUAAUUGUCUACAGAUCUGACCACCUUGAGGAGGUCCCAAGCAGAGGAGAGACCAAAUCUGUCACCAAUGGAAUGGGCCAUUAACCGUUCAAAGACGCCAGAGAGGCAGGGACCAAGAGAAUGCACAACAUUUUUUUUUUUUUUUUAAUACCAAAAAAAAUACAAGCAUGUUAUACUGCCAGGAAGAUCUAUGUGAGUAGACACAGUAUAAAAGAGAAAAAAAAGAAAAAAAAAUUACAACUAUAUAUAUUUUAUCACUGUAUUCACAGGUCACAGGUAUUGCACCAUCAUAACAUAAACGCAAUGUCUUUGCAUGUAACUUCUGGCUGUGAAAACAAGCAACAAGGUUAUUUGUUUCGAUUAUAUAACUAUUAUAUAACAGCAGCCAACUCAAAACAUUACAGAUUCCUUGAAAAGGAGGACGAGGAGUUGCAUUCCAAACUGUUUUUUUUUUUUUUUUUUUUUUUUUGUCAAAUCACGUUCAUUUUAAACAUGUUAGUUACCCUUCUCACCUGUUAAUUUAUAACUAAAGCAUAGCUUCACAUUGCAUUUCAUGCCUGUUCGCCAGUUCCAAACCGAAUAUGAGCACCUGUAGUCUAGCUGUAUUUUGUACUUUUUGUCGUAAUGACUUUUUUUUUUUUUUUUUUUAUAAAAAUUGUCUUAAUAAUAUAUGUUAGCACAUAGUGAACAUUUUUGUAAUUAACUAUAUAUUUUACUGCUUGAUACAAAAUGGUCUUUGUUUUUGCUCUCAAUAUUAUUUUAUAUCAAAGCAAGUUUUAAUUCAGAAGAAGUCCAUUAUAGUCAUACCGUUAGCAUUAUUUCAUUAUCUUUGGCUUUUUUACUCUUGGAAACACUGGUCUGAAAGUUCUUUUUGACCAUCUUUUUGUAAGUGUUAAUCAUGUGGAAUAAUCGGUAUUGGUUAAAAACAGUUAAACUCGAUAGAAAGGGAAAGUGCACUUUUUGGCUUAUAUUUGAGUACAUUUCACAGUUUUUCAUAUAAUGCAAGGCCUUGGUUAAUCCAAAACCAUCCAACGAGAAGGACGAAGUAAAUUCAUGUUUAAUGUUCAAGUGUAUAAUUUUUCUUCUUUCUGUUGCAAUCAUUCAUACUAAAUUGCAACAUGGAUGUCGUCGGCUUUCAAUGCAGCGCUAGUUGGCAGAACGUUAAUAAUGCCGUCAUUUAAACGCGUAUCAUUUCUGACAUCUUUUGUCAGACAAAGAAUAUCCAGUUCUGCCGCCGUAGCUUAUUGCUAAUGUCUCUAAAUGUUCAAAGUUCCUGUAUUCUGCUUGUAUUUUUUGACAAUCAGUUUUUUACCAUUUUUUUCAACACUUAUGUAUUGUUUCAGAGUAACACUAUGCAAGUCGCACCACCUUUAAUUGCAAUUAUCUUGUUACAAAUAUGACUGUUUGUAGUCUAUAGUUCCAUACAGAGCAAAUGUUUCAACUUGUAAUCAUUGUCUCAGUGACCACAAUAAAGAGACCAAUGAAAAACA